rnacentral:rRNA from 1 species
GACGAACGCUGGCGGCGUGCCUAACACAUGCAAGUCGAACGCGCUCCAUUCGGUAGCAAUACUGAUGAAGAGCGAGUGGCGAACGGGUGAGUAACACAUGAGCAACCUGCCCCGAAGACUGGGACAACACCGGGAAACCGGUGCUAAUACCGGAUAUCCCUAUCGGACCGCAUGAUCUGAUAAGGAAAUGGAUUCCGCUUCGGGAGGGGCUCGUGGCCUAUCAGCUAGUUGGUGAGGUAAUAGCUCACCAAGGCUUCGACGGGUAGCUGGUCUGAGAGGACGAUCAGCCACACUGGGACUGAGACACGGCCCAGACUCCUACGGGAGGCAGCAGUGGGGAAUCUUGCGCAAUGGGCGAAAGCCUGACGCAGCAACGCCGCGUGGAGGACGAAGGCUUUCUGAGUUGUAAACUCCUUUCAGCAGGGACGAUAGUGACGGUACCUGCAGAAGAAGCACCGGCCAACUACGUGCCAGCAGCCGCGGUGAUACGUAGGGUGCAAGCGUUGUCCGGAUUUAUUGGGCGUAAAGAGCUCGUAGGCGGUUUGAUAAGUCGGGUGUGAAACCUCCAGGCUCAACCUGGAGCCGCCAUUCGAUACUGUCAUGACUAGAAUUCGGUAGGGGACCACGGAAUUCCUGGUGUAGCGGUGAAAUGCGCAGAUAUCAGGAGGAACACCAGCAGCGAAGGCGGUGGUCUGGGCCGAAAUUGACGCUGAGGAGCGAAAGCGUGGGGAGCGAACAGGAUUAGAUACCCUGGUAGUCCACGCCGUAAACGUUGGGCACUAGGUGUGGGGACUAUUCAACGGUUUCCGUGCCGCAGCUAACGCAUUAAGUGCCCCGCCUGGGGAGUACGGCCGCAAGGCUA